CUUCAUUUCCGAUAUAUUCCCUUAUACAAAACCUCCCUAAAACGGCACCCACUUGAUAGUAUUUACUUUAUACUUGAUAGAAAACUUUCUAAGUCUUGCCAGUGGGAAUAUACCUUCUGUUUUCAAGCCGCUAGCCGUUGGCUUGCCAUGGGCCCUUGGCCGCUGUCACGUUAUUUGUCGAUGUAAUUAGCGUAAUUAAAAUUACAUGGAGGCAUUAGGAAGGCUUAUGUUAGUACAACAUCAACAACAGACGCGCGCCAAGCAAAUAGAUCGCGGUGGGUGUAAGUGGAGUUAUGAAAGCGCUACGAGGAAUGAUUAAAAACGCAAUGUAAACCAAGCCGGAAUGAAUGCAGAUCUCCUGCAAAGAGUUUGCGGUGACCGCCCGAAAUUUAUGCUAAAUUUUAUACAUCUCCGGGGGGUUGUGGACCAGGUAAAUACACCUUAAUAUUAAUGUAUUGUACAUAUUGGCACUCACGUCUUUUCGACCAAGCUGGAACGUUGCUCUCCUGCAAAGAAUUAAAUUGGCAAAGAUCUUGGACUAACCCUCCGUAAUUUAUGCUAAAUCUAAUAGUUUUCAGGGGGGGGAGAUUCGAACAUAUUGCCACUUGUCAUUUCACACAUAAUUUCCAACCUGAACCGAAUUUGAGCCUCCUGCAAAGCAUUUAGACUAACCCCCCGAUAUUUACUUUAAGUCUUAUAGAUUUCCGGGGGAGUGUGGGAUUUUUUAACAUUGGCCAAUUUUAUAUUGAUGUAUAUUGCGUGUACAAAUAACAUUUCGUAGCUUUACAUAACAUGUUUAACUUUGAAAACCGAGUUCAAAGUUACCCCGGACGUUGGGCAAAAUGGCUUUCGGAAGCGCGCACAUAAAACAAACGAGUUUUCAUUAUAUUGUGUUAAUCUUUAAAGCGCGCACAAAAGCCUCUAGCGAGGUGGAGCUCUGGGGAGGGUAUGAGAAGUGAACAUGUGUUUCACAAGUACCGCUUAAGGCUUUAGUGUCGUGUCGUGAAGUGUUAAGAAAAUAAAAUGUCAGCUACGCCUGUUCAUUUUAUAGCGAAAAACAAAUAAACACGCAGUACAUAUUGUAUUAGUACUCUUGAAAGACGUGUUCUCGCAUAGGAUAGUUAGUCUUUUCUUGCUUUGAGCAAGACAAUUUCCUUAAUUUAUAUUAUAUAUCAAAAUGCUAUAUGUUGAAAAACAGUG